ACUUCUUAUUGCCAGCAGCUGAGCCUGAAGAGGUUUAAGUGAACAUGUUGGACUUCUGCUUACAGGCGACUGACUCAGCCCCUAGGAACCACUAUUUUGCUCUGUUUCUGGGAGUUUGACAGUAAAGGAGAUGAUCUUCCAUAAUGCAGCUGGGCCUCAUCCAGUCAACAGAAGGUCAAAAGAACAGAAGACUGAGGUUUCCCAAAGAAGAAGAAUUCCCAAAGAAGAAGAACUCAAGGCUCGAGUUUCCAGCCUGCUGGCUCUACAAAAAUUUUGGACUUACCCGCCCGCUAAUCAUGUGAGCUAAUUUAAAAUCAGUCUUUAUCUAUCAAAUGACAGAUAUUUAGAUAUAGAUAUCCAUCCUAUUGGUUCUUUUCCUUUGGAGGACGAUGACUGACACAGGAAGGUAUCUUCCCGCCCUAUGAUGUUCCUGUGUGACACGUGAAACUCUCAACAGCCCCACGGGUGGCCAUUCACUCUGAUACUGUGCAGAUUCUCAUGGGCCAUAGACCUCUGGAGCCACGGUGACUUCCAACAAGAUCAGGCACAUAGCUGGCGCUUCAUAAAUAUUUAAAGGGAAGUUGAAUGCAAUGUAAAGAGGCGCUAAACUUCUUUCAUAUGGUUGUUCUCUCUUCCAGUAAUGUCUGCUACAAUCGAUGUACAACUUCUGUUUCCUUUGCAGGGCACACAUGUGUUCUUUCUCUUGGGGACCUGCUGGACCCCAGGAGCUGCGGGGAAACACCGCAGUUGCUAUCUGAGCUGGUGCUCUUGCUGCUCUGCCCUGGUUAGGCCCGAUUCUUCAUCACUGCCUGGCUUAGGCUCCUGGGCUGGGCACAGCAAGGAAGUCACUGUCUUUGGAUUUUCAGGACACCUGGAGUUUCCUUAGACUUCCUUUAUGCCGCCUAACCUCUGCCCACUGCCACCUAGACUCCCCCUCCCAGGUGUUGCUGGUGGCUGAACUUUUAGUUCGGAAUAAAACCAAGCCAUUUUAUUAAUUGUCAGCUGAGUUGCAAAGUCUAGGAUGACAAAUGAGCCCCGAGACUGAAACCUCUGAGCUGUCUAGAUUUUGACUAAAUCUUUGAACCCGAGAGCGAA